ensembl:lncRNA
CGGCCGGGCGCAGCUGCGCCUCGUCGGGAGCCGCGGGCGGGGCCCGCCCCAAAGCCUCUUAAGCUCCUCCGGAGGCUGCCGGGAGCCACGGGGGAGUUUCUGCGGUUGUGGAUAGGAGACGGAGUGAGUUCUGUUUCUUUGUCGGGCCCUGACGCUGCUGAGGCUGAGAAGCGGCUGCUGUGAGACCUUUCGCGGUAAGGACCAGCCCAAACAGCGGGUGCUUCAGUUCUUCAGGCUCUCCUCGGCUGAGCGAGGGCUGCAGCAGAGGCUCUCAUCGGCCCGAAGCAGUGAGCUCGUGGAAGCGGUGAGUGUUUGAGAGUCGCUCGGUAAGAUCUCUCGUGUUGGGGCUCCUGUAGGGUUGCUGCUCGACUGCCUCUGUCUUUGGGAUCGGCACGGCGCCGCCGCUGGGCUCCCGUGUGGCUUUUUAGUAGGACCGGCACGGGGCCUCCGCCCGAGACCGAGCACGAUCCCGGGGUGGCCUCGGCCACUGCGGAGUGUUUUGCGGGUGCUCUCACCCAUCCCGUUUCCAGCGGUGGGAGCGAGCAGGUUGGGACCGUGGUUUUUUUUUUUCCCGCCUCUUCCUUCCCGUGUAACUGCAGGAGCACGAUUUAGGUUCCCAUCGUGGAGACCUGGCAGGGCAGCUCGCACGACUGGAGUGCUGUCGUGGAUGGCUCUGUUCUUUUUAGGAAAGACAGACCGGCCAGGCGGUGGAGUCUCUCUUCGAGGGAGAGAACGGGAACGUAUCGAGCUCCACCUAGGGGUGAAUGAAGAACCAGCGGAGCGUUUGUGCGUGAGGCUGAAGAGGCAGCUGGAAAUGGUGCCCACAGCUGUGAGGCUAGUUCUCAUGGUAGGCUCCAGGAGUUUCCUGCAAUGUGUCAAAGGUAAGAUCUUCUGACACAGGUGAUGAAGGAGGCAUUGAGGAGAGGGGCUGCUGGAGCUCCCUAUUGCAGAAGAGCCAUUUGGGGACAGGAAGGCCAGGGGCAGCCUGGAGCGUGCCAGUCGUGAGACCACAGUGUUUGGGAUCUUGUGUGGAAGCUGCAAAGCAAUGAGUAGGAUUGAAACACUGGACUUGGAGGGAGCCAAGUUUGUCCUCUUGAAGGGCCUACUUGGAGGUAACCCUUGCUCAAGCAUAGGAAGGGGUCCUGUGAAUGCUGGAGCAUUACUUCGUCCAUGCUGAGGUGCGCUGCGUCCCAAGGAGGAAGGAACUGCGCCGGAAUGGUGGGGGACCUGCAGGGCUGACUGAGGAACUUGAAGGGGAGAAGGAAGAGAGAGGCUGAGGAAGGCCAAGUCCCUCUGAGUAUCAGCUUUGGGAGGGAGGUCAAGGCUAAUGGAAGUUUGUCAACAGGAGAGACUGGAGAAAUUGCAGGCCUGUGCUUUACAAGGCGGAGGCCUCUUGGGUUUCAGUGGUUUCUGCUGAGAGUGCUCCUGGGGAACCUGGGGUCCUGGAGGAGAGAGUCCCUGAGGAAGGAUGUCUUCCCCUCAGUUGCGGAGGAGCUGGUCAAAGGUAGUUCAGGCAGAAAGGAGGCCAGCAAAUCUCUGAGCUGUAGAGGGCUAUGUCUGUGCCCGCUGAGAGCUGGCAGCGGUGACUGGCAAUAGCUCUCUGUCACUUUUUCCCUGCUGUUUCCUGUGGGAAAGGUACCUGAAGACUGGAGGAUGGCGGAUGCCACCGCAGCCUUCAGAAAGGGUGUGGAGGAUGGCGUGUGCAACUUGGAGGUAGGUUGGCCUCAUGUCUGUUCCUGGGGAGGUGACGCAACAGCUUGUUGCAGGUGUCAUUGCCAUGUGACUGGAGGAGAAGGUAUUUGCAAGGAGCAGUCCAGGUGGAUGGACAGAGGAGAAGUCAUGCCGGACCAAAAGGGUGAAGGCUGCAGAGAGGAUUGGCUGGAGCAGGUGUGCAGUUUUCCCAGUGGUGGGAUGAAGGAGGUUCAGGCUGGAGGCAGGAUCCUGGUGGUGUGAGUGGGGCGCCCCUGUGGAGCAAGGGUGGAAGGUGUGUGGCAGGUCCUGUCCCGGAGGAGUGGAGUUAAGGGUCCUGGCGUGGCUGUUUUCCUGCAUGGAAGAUGGAGAUCCUGGGAGCUGUGAUGAGGAGGAGCAGAGCCAGCAGCUGAAUUUCUGCACGGCAGCCUUUCUCGAAUGCAGUAGGGCUUCCCUGGCUUGAAGAUGGGUGUGCUGUCCUGAGGGAGGAGCAGUGUUGACUGUCUUACAGUGACCUUCUGCUUUCCUUUAAGAAGAGUCCACUAAGAACUGUAUUGGGUUUUUCAGUAGGUAACUCAGGAGAGGGCUUCUCGGUGAAAUCCUUUGUGUUGAAUUGCAGUAAGUUGAGUAUGUGAACCUUCCUCCCAAACUGAGACCGAACGCCAGCAAAAAUGCCAAAUAUGUUGUCCUGUUUCCCUUUAUAACAAAAGAUGUGGUACUUUGCUGGGGUUGCGCCUUUGUGUUCAAUGUUUGUAUGCAGUAUAUUGUAUCCUCAUGUGGGAGUCUGCCAUUAUUAACUGCACUGUUAAUAACUGUUAUUAUUAAUAUAAUAUAUUAAUAUAAACUGUAAAUUAAUAAUAAAAACUGUAAUUAUUAUUAAUAAAUUUACAGUUUAUAAUCCAGUUGUGCUGUGAUAGAAGUUCAGCAGCUGGAUAAUGCAGGAUAGAAAAUGGAGUUGACAGAGAUGCAAAACAACUCUCCUACUGCCUUGACUUGAACUGUGUCUCAGUGUGCUAUUACACUGACUCAUUAGUGCAAGCAGAUGUGUACCAUGAGGAAGGGCUGUUUUCUGAUGUGGGAUUUAGUUCUUGGGCCCGCUUUCCUGACAAGGGUUUUCUUUACCUACUCCCAUGGAUGAUAAAUGCUUUGAACUAGACCAGAGGAUAAGACUUCCUCCUUUUCUAACCCAGGCUUUCUCUUGAGCAGGAGGCUGUCACUGGAACACACAGGAACAGUCAGAGCAAUUACUGAAUUGGACUGUCUGAGCUGAAAGUUGAUGGUGCAUCCCUCUGGUAGAGGGAAUGCAAAAAAGAGAGGUCUUGAAUCAGUAGUGAGUUUAUUGCUGAAGAGCAAAGAUUCGUAUCUCACCCUAAGCUGGGUGUUUUUCACUGCCACACGCCCAGUCAUUUCACUAUACCCAUGUUCUGCCUGGUACCACUCUGACUACCUUCUACCACUAACAACCAGAAUGGCUGAGCAAGGAGUACUGUUUGCAGCUAGGAAGCCAAAAACAGCCAAAAACCCUUCUGUUGCUUCCUUCUGUGUUCUGUGGGGGUGCACAGUCAGAAGAGAGCUUCCACCAUGCAUACCAGUCCUUAUAAAGUAUCUUUCCUUAUGAACACCAGUACGGACUCCCUUUCACUGUCUCUUUUAGCUGGAGACCUGGGCUGUGCAUCUGUGUUCCUCCAUCUACAAUGAGAAGAAAGGGUUUGUUUUUUUUAAUUUCAUUGUUGUAACAAAUAAAAAUCAAGGGAGCUUGGCAACUGUGUUUGACUGUGAGUGGUUCUAGAAGUCUGACCUUUAUUCUUCUGUCAUUCAUAUUGAACACUGAUCCCUAGGUGCACAGUGCAUGAGGAAGCUCUAACCUUCUCCAGUUUCUACACUCACUUGAAGUAAUUAUGGCCAUAGUCAUUUCCCUUCCACAUCAACAUUGGUUACUGUACUGAGCAGAUAAAUCCCUUCCCCCAAACCUAUGAGGCUGCAUGACAAACCAUGGGGACUCCAUGUGGAAAUAACAGUAAAAAAAAGCCAUCCAGGGCUAAGAGGAGGUCUUUCAAACUUGAUGUGAUAUGUCUGUUCCUCAGGGGUUCAUAUGGUCUCGUGUACUUGACACUGCAAAAAAACAGUAGCAGAAGCAGUGAAACUAGGGAAAGAGGAAGGUUUCAGAUAUCACCUUGUAAAGCUCAUUGCUCACAGCAUAAGCUCUUCAGACUACCUCGACACACGGGCCUUGGAGAAGUCAGGCACAAGCGCUUAUCCUUCUAAAUGCCUUUCCCAAGAGCUGAGACCCCACAAACUUCACACGCCUAGCAAAAGCGCACAGGAAUGGGUCUCCAAGGAGGAAAAGCGAGCUCGCCUGUCAGUACUGCCAGGGAAGACAGUGGUGGAGACUGUUGGGCUGAUGUCCUCUUGUGUUGUUUUUAAUGCUAGUCCGCUAAAGUAGGAUGAUCAAAC